CCGCGUGAGGGAAGAAGGCCUUUGGGUUGUAAACCUCUUUUCUAGGGAAGAAAAUCUGACGGUACCUGAGGAAUCAGCCUGGGCUAACUCCGUGCCAACCCCCGCGGUUAUAACGUGCCAGCAGCCGCGGUAAU
rnacentral:rRNA from 1 species